CGUGAGACAGUUCGGUCCCUAUCCGGCGUGGGCGUAGGAUAUUUGAGAGGAGCUGUCCUUAGUACGAGAGGACCGGGAUGGACUGGCCGCUGGUGUAUCUGUUGUUCUGCCAAGAGCAUAGCAGAGUAGCCAAGCCGGGACGGGAUAAACGCUGAAGGCAUCUAAGCGUGAAGCCCCCCUCAAGAUGAGAUAUCCCAUAACGUCAAGUUAGUAAGACCCCUUGAAGACGACGAGGUAGAUAGGGCGGAGGUGGAAGUGCAGCAAUGCAUGGAGCUGACCGUUACUAAUAGGUCGAGGGCAUAACC
rnacentral:rRNA from 1 species